UCGGUGGAGCAGAAAACUGUACCUUCAUCCGGGAAUUUAUUUAAAGGCCAUCCGAGUCAACCCUUGUGCAUACAUAUACGUGUACACGUCGCGUCUGCGAGCUUCGCCAUAAUAUACUAUUAAUAUUGGACACGAGUGUUUGGUGUGUGGGCUUCAAUGGUAUCGGUACAGUCGACGAGGCGCGAGUGAAGCGAUUUUUUAACCCGAGAAAAAGGCAUCAAAAUUCCACAGAAGACGACUACCAGUUGCAAGGAUGUUCUGAGUCACCAAUGGUUACCACCACUCUGGUCCAAGCAGAGGUUGUACCGGUACGAGUUGGCUGUGAGACGAGAGCAACAUGGAAGUGGGAAGGAGCAAGCCCAGUGGCCAAGAUGCCGCCCAAGAUGGAGCGACCAGUAAGAGCAGCUCAGAGAAGGCUGAGGAAGAGCGGAACCCAGCCAUGAAUAUUGCAUCAUCAUGCCAGGAGCAAGUAAGGGAAGGAGCCUCUGAUUCUGCUGCCAAGGAUUAACAGAGGAGCGAUUCUGCGCCGUGAGGAACCGUGCUAGCGAGCACAACGUGGUGUGUGCAGGCUGCGGGUUCCCUGUUCACGCCCCGUGCAGGGACGGGACUUGGGCAACAUUCUGGCCGGGAAGUCAUA
rnacentral:misc_RNA from 1 species